rnacentral:rRNA from 1 species
UACGUAGGUGGCAAGCGUUGUCCGGAUUUACUGGGCGUAAAGGGCGUGCAGGCGGUCUGUUAAGUUCAGGGUGAAAGCUCCCGGCUCAACUGGGAGAGGUCCUUGGAUACUGGCAGACUUGAGGGAGGUAGAGGAGAGUGGAAUUCCUGGUGUAGCGGUGAAAUGCGCAGAUAUCAGGAGGAACACCGGUGGCGAAGGCGGCAUCCUGGACCGAGAUUGACACUGAUGAGCGAAAGCUAGGGGAGCAAACGGG